UGUUGAUUGUCAGACUUAUGCACAAUAUAUCCACUUCCAUAAUAAGUGGAAGCCUGAAGAACACUUGACAAGAUGGCUAAAAUUGUCUCAAUUAUAAUUCUUAUCAAUCUUAAAGCCGCAGUUAUCUCUUCCCUCAACAUCCAGCAAUCACCACAACAUCUACUAUUAACACCUAAGCAGAGGGAAGUGAAGCUCAGCUGCAGGCAUGGUGAUGGCAACUAUCCCUACAUGUACUGGUAUCAACAAAAAACAGUUGGUGACUCCAUUGAGCUUAUUGGAAUGCUUCUGUAUGAAAACCCCACUCCUGAGGAGAAGUUUAAACCACGAUUCAACGUUUCAGGACACUCCACAGGGGAUGCAUUUCUGCUUAUAUCCAGUGUAACUCCUGAGGACAGUGCAGUAUAUUUCUGUGCUGCUAGUAAGCACAGUCACACACCUUCCCUUUCUGUGUUGUAUAAAGAAGUGUACACUCCAUCAGUAUUGAGUAAAGCUGUUCUCCAGACUCCACAUGAUCUACUGAAAAAUCUAGAGGAUACCGCUGUGCUUCACUGCUCUCAUAACAUAACAGACUAUAACCGUAUACUUUGGUACAAGAUGAGCAGCUCUGGGAGUGAGAUGAAAUAUCUUGGGAAUCUUUUCCUGGAAACUCCAAACUCUGAGGACAUGAGGAUUAACCUGUCUGGGGAUGGAAAGUCUAAAGGAUCAAUGAGUAUUCCCGAGCUGUCUUUAGAAGAUAGUGCAGUUUAUUUCUGUGCAGCAUAUUUACACAGUGCUUCUCACCUGAUGUGA